GUCGUAACAAGGUUCCGUAGGUGAACCUGCGGAAGGAUCAUUAU
rnacentral:rRNA from 1 species